rnacentral:rRNA from 1 species
AGAGGUGGCAAGCGUUGUUCGGAAUUACUGGGCGUAAAGGGCGCGUAGGCGGCCAUCUAAGUCAGACGUGAAAUCCCCCGGCUUAACCUGGGAACUGCGUCUGAUACUGGAAGGCUCGAGUUUGGGAGAGGGAUGUGGAAUUCCAGGUGUAGCGGUGAAAUGCGUAGAUAUCUGGAGGAACACCGGUGGCGAAGGCGGCAUCCUGGACCAACACUGACGCUGAGGCGCGAAAGCUAGGGGAGCAAACGGGAUUAGAUACCCCGGUAGUCCUAGCCCUAAACGAUGAAUGCUUGGUGUGGCGGGUAUCGAUCCCUGCCGUGCCGAAGCUAACGCAUUAAGCAUUCCGCCUGGGGAGUACGGUCGCAAGGCUGAA